AUAAAACAUGGUUGACGUGGUCACAGAGGUGGUUUUCCCAGGGCAAGCCUUAUCCAUUGUACUCUGGAUGUGCUGACCCCUGUGAUUUCCCCAAAUGUGGGAAACUUGACUGCAUAAUUUGUGGUGGUGAGGGACUGUGUUUGCGCUCUCCCCUG
ensembl:snRNA U1 U1 spliceosomal RNA